rnacentral:rRNA from 1 species
UACGAAGGGGGCUAGCGUUGCUCGGAAUCACUGGGCGUAAAGCGCACGUAGGCGGCUUUCUAAGUCGGGGGUGAAAUCCUGGAGCUCAACUCCAGAACUGCCUUCGAUACUGGAAAGCUCGAGUCCGGGAGAGGUGAGUGGAACUGCGAGUGUAGAGGUGAAAUUCGUAGAUAUCUGGAGGAACACCGGUGGCGAAGGCGGCAUCCUGGACCAACACUGACGCUGAGGAGCGAAAGCCAGGGGAGCAAACGGG